CACCUCUCAGGGGCAAACCUGGAGAGUUUCCAGUACUCUAUCAGUCUCGACUAUGGGAGGGAGAGUCAAGCAGAGGCAUAUCCAUUCCAUUCCUAGCUUGGGCACCGGCCAGCGAGUGGAAGGCAAUCUGUCACAAGU
rnacentral:snoRNA from 1 species